AUUUGUACGCGUAAAGAGAGAGAGAGAGAGAGAACGAACAACGAAGAACCAGAGCUCCGCCCGACCCACUCGACACACGAUGACGAUGACGAACCAGACCCAAGCCCAAUGACGACGAACACACCAAGAAACACGAAAAAGAAGAAGAAGAUUGAAGAGAAGAUCGAAGAAGAAGAACUGGACUGAAGAGAAGAAAGAACGACGAAUGACUGAAAUGGCAGAAAAACAAGACUAACACCAGUGAACUACACAUGAAUCUACUGCGUCCGAGCCUCUGAUGUUGCUAUUUCUAUGGCAGAAGCAUAAGGAGAUGACCGUUUUGAUUUCUCUUUGGGGUGUAGCCUUCUUUUGAGUUGCAGAAGCAUAUGAGGGGAUGGCUGAAGCAUGAGUGGAAGGUUACCAGUCAAUUUUAGUGUAGAGACUUGAGUGCAUGAGUUCCAAUUAUGUAAUGCCUUCAUUGUAUAAAUUCAUGUAACCGAUUCACACCUCUUUCCAUAGUCACAUCUUGUAGUUGUGUACAAACUAGUAAAGAACUACUCUGUUUGAUCAAAGUUGUCUAUGAUGCCCACUUGGAAGGGCCAGCUACCCUACCAAGUUGUAGAAUUUUUGUAAAUGGAAAUGGUGAUUCAAUGAUUGAAGUGA